CCUACGGGAGGCAGCAGUGAGGAAUAUUGGACAAUGGGCGCAAGCCUGAUCCAGCCAUGCCGCGUGCAGGAAGAAGCAUCUAUGGUGUGUAAACUGCUUUUGUACAGGAAGAAACACUCCCUCGUGAGGGAGCUUGACGGUACUGUAAGAAUAAGGACCGGCUAACUCCGUGCCAGCAGCCGCGGUAAUACGGAGGGUCCGAGCGUUAUCCGGAAUCAUUGGGUUUAAAGGGUCCGUAGGCGGUUUAAUAAGUCAGUGGUGAAAUCUGGUCGCUCAACGAUCAAACGGCCAUUGAUACUGUUAGACUUGGAUUAUAAGGAAGUAACUAGAAUAUGUAGUGUAGCGGUGAAAUGCUUAGAUAUUACAUGGAAUACCAAUUGCGAAGGCAGGUUACUACUUAUGGAUUGACGCUGAUGGACGAAAGCGUGGGGAGCGAACAGGAUUAGAUACCCUGGUAGUCCACGCCGUAAACGAUGGAUACUAGCUGUUCGGAGCAAUCUGAGUGGNGUAGACGAAGUAGAUAAGUAAGUACCACCGUACGGGUAGGUACGGUUCGCGAAGAAGUAGAACGUACGAAAGGAAAGUUAGUACGGACGUGAGACGUAGACCGACGGACGACGACGAGGGGAGGAGG
rnacentral:rRNA from 1 species